rnacentral:rRNA from 1 species
UACGUAGGGUGCAAGCGUUGUCCGGAAUUAUUGGGCGUAAAGAGCUCGUAGGCGGUCUGUCGCGUCUGCUGUGAAAACUCAGGGCUUAACCCUGAGCUUGCAGUGGGUACGGGCAGACUAGAGUGCGGUAGGGGAGACUGGAAUUCCUGGUGUAGCGGUGAAAUGCGCAGAUAUCAGGAGGAACACCGGUGGCGAAGGCGGCCUGCUGGGCUCUUGCUGACACUGAGGCGCGACAGCGUGGGGAGCAAACAGG